UGAUAGGGACAAAACUAAAUUCAGAAAACUAGAUCCCUCUGUGGUGACCAAAAAGGCCAGCACUGGUUCCCUCAGUUGGAGGUGUGGAGGAUGGUUAGGGAGGCAUCCUAUUUUUCAUUCAGUAAACACUUAUUGAGCACCUGCUGUGUGCCUGAUAGAAACUGGGUUACACAGAUACAACAAAGAAACACAAUCAACCAAAUCUUUGUCCUCCCAGAGCCCAGAGUCAAAUACAAGUGUUCUUAACAUUUAUUGUGUGUGCCAUGGACCUGUUUGGUGAUCUGGUGAAGGCUUUGGGCCUUUUCUCAGAAAACAAUAUAUUUUAAAUGCAUAAAAUAAAAUAUAAAGCACUAUACAAUAUUGACUGUGGUGAAAUAUAGUUACUAAGACAUGGAAAAGCAAAUAUGUGCUAUAGUAAUAUAUGUGCUCUUUGUUAAUCACAAGAUAUACUGGGGAGGUCUAAUGUCAAUCAUGAUUUUAAGAUAGAGAUUACAGGAUAUUUCAAGAAAUGUGCAACAUCUGUAAUAUGGUAUGAAAAUCUGUGAUUUCUAUUAGUGACAGAGUCACAGGUACUGCUAUUACUAUAGUGAGUUACAUUCUUUACCAAAAAGAUGCUAAAUUUCAAUUAGGAGACUGAAAACAAAGAUGUAAUUUUUUCCCAUCCAAAUUCAUGGACCCCUCUAAACCCUGUGUCUGGACUGGAUUGGAGAUCUAUGAACCCAAAUUAAGAACGCUUGGUAGUAGAAAGAUCCUUCCUUUCCUGUCUCUCCUUCCCACCCCACCGCUUCCUUUUUAGACAGCGUUCGUUUGGAGGAGAGAAGCCUGGGUUUUAUGCUGGGUCUUAUUGCUGUAUGACCUCAAGCCAAUCGGUUUGCCUCUCUGGGUCAUGGUUCCCUCAGGCUGAAACAAUGGCAAUGGCAAGAAGGAGAGGAGACCAAUUUUUAUGCCCAGACAACUAAUUUACCUUCUCUCAUUGAAUCCUCCAUUGAAGGAAUGGCAUUGUCAGGAAAGAUUUUUAAAAUUAUCUUCCCAUUUCACAGACAGUUAAACUGAGGCUCCAAGCAAAGUGGCCACUUGACCAAUGUCUUAAUCAAUAUGUAGCAGGGGCUGGUGGGUGACUGGCCAGACCCCUAUAACCAGAUCAUCCUCCAGGGAUAAAAUUAGGAACCACGUUCUUUUUAAGCGAGAGAAAUCUCUGCUCAAGAAGUCUCUGCAGGUGGGCGUAAGCUAUGGGAAACUGGAGGCAGAGUCGUGUCUCUUAGCGGAGCGACGGCUUGCGCGAGGGGGCUUACGGAGAAUAAGACGUCAAGAAGCCGCGGCUCUCUAGUGACUCGCGUCAGGCCUCACUUUAGGCUUCGCGCCUGCGUGCUCCCAACUAACCUCUCAAACGCCUGUCGAAUGGACUGGCAAACAGCGAUGACGAGUCCUCUUCCUGGCCAAUGCUAAUAAAGGGUGGGCUUGGCACGUAAACCAAUCAAAGACCCCCAAAGGGGCGGGUUUUCUUCGGCCUGGAUCCAGCCUUGGGGGGUAAAAAUAAAGUGUUUCCAUUUCCAGCCAAUCCCAGGAAAGGCAGGAGGGCACUCCUCCAAUGGGAACCUGGAGCCGUCGGUAGCGGUGGCGGCCUGCGACCUCGCAAUAGCUCCGGCAGGCGGGAGGGACGCGUCCAGUGCUUUCGCGAGGUCCUGCUGCCUGCCGCUGGAACCUGGUCGAGCGAGGCAGCGGCGACGCCGACGGUCUGAAGUUCCCGGUCAGCGGGUUGCGGAGGAUCGUGCGGGUAGCAAAGGGAGGGCGAGUGCUCCUGCGGCCCCAGACGGCAACCAGAACAUACAUCAUUGUUAGAAUCAUCACCCUGCAGCUAGCUUGGACACCAUUAAAAGGGCUCAUCAACUGCAAACGGAUAGAAGUAUCUGAUAUUCGUGAAGACAGAGUUUCAGGGCUUCUGCCUGGAGCUACACUCUCCAGAAGCCCCUGCUUGGCCUCUCUGCACCCAACCCCACCCCAACCAGUCACAGCUUGGGUCGUGUGUGGUGUUUCUUGGCAACUGGAAAACAGACUCCUCCAGCAGCUCCACAGGCCCCUUGUCCUCACUGAGCAGAAGACUACAGAAGCUGGCUACUGAAGAAGCUGUCCAAGUCUUAGAGCUCCUCCUUGGCCCUGCUUAGCACACUUACCACAGAGCAGUAACCGAGUGCUGGCUGUUACUCAUUUGCGCUUACUACCUGCAGGGACUUCAGAGGGAUUUGUCAGACCCCAUUUCACCCUAAGGCCACUCCCUAAGAAUCUCCACAGGAGGCUACCCAUAGAGAGAGGUGGCUUGCCUAGGGUCUCCACUGCCUUAGGUCAUACGUGGACACUUCCAGGGCUAAGGGGAUUAAUAUCUUUUUGCCUACCUGUAACCCACAUAUCCAUUGGAAAAUUCUGCCUCCUGCUAUUUUCUGUUCUUUUAUUUGUUUUUUGGUAGGAAGAGUUUUAACUACUUCUUCAGUUCCUUUAAUAGUUGGAGGAUUAUUCAGGAUUUCUUUUUCUUCUUGCGUUAAUUUUGGUAAGUUAUAGUUUUCUAGGAAUUGGUCCAUUUUGUCUGUGUUCUCAAACUUGUCGGCAUAAAGUUUCCUUGUUUUUUUGUUCUCUGUUCUAUCUGUAGUUAUGUCUCCUUUUUCAUUGCUGAUAUUGGUUAUUUGUGCUUUCUCACUUUUUUUCUUGAUCAAUCUCUCCAGAGGUUUGUCUAUUUUAUUAGUCUUUUCAAAGAACCAGCUUUUGGCUUUGUUGCUCCUCUCUAUUGUGUCUUUGUUUUCUAUUUCUUUAAUUUCUGCUCUUAUCUUUUUUGAUCUCCUUCCUUCCACAUUUUUUGGAUUUAUUCUGUUGUUCUUUUUCUAAUUUCUUAAAUUGGGCACAGAGCUCAUUAAUUUUUGUGCAUUUAAGGACAUAACUUUCCCUCUAACUACUGCUUUUCUUCAAGUUCAGACAUGUCGUAUUUUAUUAUUGUUCGGUUCCAAGUACUCAGCAUUUCCAUCGUGGUUACUUCUUUGACCUGCGAGAAGUGUGUUUCUAAAUAUUUGGAGAUUUAAAAUUUUACCUCUUUGUUAUUGAAAUUUGUCUUAAUUGCAUUAUGAUCAGAGGAUGUGAUCUGUGUGAUAAAAGCUCUGAAAUUUAUUGAGACUUGUUUUAUGGCUUAGUACGUGAUCAGUAUUUUUGAAUGUUUCCUAUGUGAUUUAUAAGAAUGUAUGUUCUCUAAUUGUUGAAUACAGAGUUCUACAUAUGUCUAUUAUCAAGUUUGUUAAUUGUAUUGUUCACAUUUUCUAUAUCUACUGAUUUUCGGGGGGUCGUACUAUACCAUGAAUUGUAAGGUGUGUUAAUAUUCAGUUCUGAUGGUGGAUUUAUCUGUUUCUUCUUGUAAUUCUCUUUUUCUUUACAUGUUUUGAGGGUAUUUUAUUAGGAAUAUUCAAAUCAAGAAUUGUUAUAUAUUCCUGCUAAACAUGUAUGACGUUCUCUAUUCCUGAUAAUGCAUUUUUCCUUGAAGUCUAUUGUAUCUUACAGUAAUAUAGAAACACAGACUUUUCUCCUGUUAGGAUUUGUGUUACUUUGAAACAUUUUCAUGCCUUAAUACUUUAAUUAUGUCUCUUGGGAAUGGCAUACAGCUGGACCUUUUAAAAAUCGAAUCUAAUGCUCUCUAUCUUUUAAUGGGCAAGUUUAGUCUGUUUACAUAUAUUGUGAAAUAUUUGGAUUUUUCUCUACCGUCAUAGUUUUUUAUUUCUAUUUCCUACCACCACCUUUGUGAUGCUUCAUUUUUCUCUUUUUUUGCCUGCUUUUUUCAUUUGUUUGUUUCCUUAUUCUAUUUUUUUCCUCAUUGCGGUUUGGAAUUUACCUGUUCUUUUCCCAUUAUUUCUGUGGUUAUCCUUGAGGUUUUGCUGUGCACAUAUAAGUUUUUAAGUUAAAACAGUGCUGGAGUUCCCAUCAUGGUGCAGUGGAAACGAAUCCGACUAGGAACCAUGAGGUUGCGGGUUCGAUUCCUGACCUUGCUCAGUGGGUUAAGGAUCCGGCAUUGCCAUGAACUGUGGUGUAGGUCGCAGACAUGGCUUGGAUCUAAUGUGGCUAUGGCUGUGGUGUAGGCCUGCAGCCGUAGCUCCAAUUCGACCCCUAGCCUGGGAACCUCCAUGUGCCAUGGGUAUGGCCCUAAAAAACAAACAUAAAUCAAUCAAUCAAUAAAGUUAAACAGUACUUUAACAUCCUUCUUGAAUGCGAGAAGCUUAGAAACAUUCAACUCUAGUCAUUCCUCUCUUGGACCACGUGUUAUUUUUUUGAGUAUAUUUAUUUCCUCCCUUUCCCCCCCUAACCUCACAAAUUCUAUAUCAUCCUUAGUAUUAUUUUAUGUAGAUGGUGUGUGUUUGGAUUUUCAUGCAUAUAUUCUUGCAUCUCAGACCAUCAUUCUGGGAUCAUUUUCCUUCAUUAUGAAUACAGUGUUGAGAUGCCCUUUUAGUACAGAUUUGUUGGUGUUAAAUUCUCCCAGUCUUUAUUAUAUGUAAAUGUCUUUAUUCUAUACUCAUUCUUAAAAGAUAGAUUGUUAUAGGUAAUAUUAGAAGUCCAUUGUCAGUCUAAUUACUAUUUUUGUAGGUGUUUUUGUUUUCUGGGUAUUCUCAAGGUCUCUCUCUCUCAUGGAGGAGAAUGUUCAGGGGGUUCUGCACUUUCAUUCUAUUAGUGUUUCGGUAUGUAUUUCUUUUUUAUUUAUUGUACUUUGGAAAUGUGCUUCAUGCCUCUGGAUUCAUGUUUUUCAUAAUUUCUAGAAAGUUCUCAGUCAUUAUCUCUUCAAAUAUUGCCUUUCCUCCAUUAUUUCUAUGUUUUCUUUCUCAGAAUUCAGUUAGUCAUAUUUUGCAUCUCUUCAUUCUAUCUUCCAUAUCUCGUAACAUCUCAUUGAUAUUUUCUAUCUUGUCUUCUUGCACUUCAUUGUGGACAAUUUCUUCAGAUAUAUCUUUCAGCUUAUUGAUUCUCUCUUCAGCUGUGUCUGAUCUGCUGUUUAAUCUGUCCACAGAAUUUUUUAUUUCAACAAUGGUAUUUUUCAUUUGUACAGCCUUCAUAUAUUUCACUUACCAAUCUGCCUGGUCAUCUCUUAAUAGUUUCUUGUUGCUUGCUCAUCUUUGUGGUUGCCUCUGUUAUUUCUUUAAACAUUUUAUACAAUUUUUGUUCAACCAGUGUCACUGUUUGCCUGAGUAUGGCAUUGUAAAUAUUGUUCACAUCCAGACUACAUAGUACAGUCUAAUGACAUAUCCUUUGUUACAUACCUUUUUGUUUUCCUAGUAAUUCCCUCGUUUUUUUGGUUUGUUUUUUUUUUCUUUUGCCUAGUGUUCUAAUACCAUUACUAGGUCUUCUCUGAAAUUCUUUUAAAAAUCCCUAUCAGGCUGUGUCCCUCCUCUGCUCAAAAUUCUCCCAUAACUCCCAUCUCCCUCAGAAUAAAAGCCAAAGCUCUCACCAUGGCCCCAAAGUUUCUACACAAGCUGGUCCCCAUAACCUCUCUGACCUGGCCUCAUAUCACUCUUCCCAUCACUCACUCUUCUCCAGCCACAUUGGCCUCCUUGCUGUCCCUUAAACAUGCCAGAUAUCCCCCCUCUUCAGAGCCUUUGUACUUGCUGUUAUCACUGUCUGGAACACUCUAAAUUGUAGAUAAUCUGAUGACUUGCCCACCCACUUCUAGUAUGCUCAAAUGUCACCUCCCUCGAGAAGCAUUCCCUAACCACCAUAUCUAAAAUAACCCCAUUCACCAGCACUUUCAUCAUCCCCUUAUCCUAUUUAUGGCUUAUGUUUUUCUGCAGAGCACUGAUCACCACCUGAUAUAUUUAUUUAUUUAUUGUGAUUAGUGUUUGUCUGUCCCCAAUAGACUGUAAGCUCCACAAAGCAGGACUCUUGUUUUUGUUCUUUGCUGUAUCCCCAGUGCCGAGAACAGUGCAUAGUAAUAUUGAGUAGAUACUCAAUAAAUAUUUGUGGAAUAAACUGAA